UGAAGUCGAAGUCACAGCCAUUUCGCUUCUCUAUCAACUCAAGCUUCGAUUUGUUUUCUUCGGUUUCGGCUGCUUCGUCCUCCGGGUUUGGCACCGAAAAAAGACCCAACCCGCCUAGGAUGCCAGCCCAGCCGCCUAGCGCCCGCCUAGCCGCCAAGCUGCCGCCUAGGCCGAUUUUUCGAACACUGCGAUUGACUGAAAGUCUGAAACUCGAAAUUGAAAAAAUUUAGCUGCAAAUUUGAGCUUGAGAUUGAGAUUGGGAAGCCGAAGCAGUGAAGCACAAGUCAAGUCCAUAGAAGAAGAGAUCAUGAGAUUCUUAAUUCAUCUAAUUCCAUUCCUCUCCCUGUUUCCCGCUUUAUUCUCUUCUCUCUUGGCUGUCUCCCAAACCACAUGUUCACCUCACCACACCAACGACAACGACGACAAUUCCUCCCUUUGCCAACUCUGCCUUAUUCUCUUCUCUCUUCGCAUUGAUGGCCUGGCGCAGAAGAAAAAAAUACAAAAUUUGCUGAUUUGGUGUCUGUCUUUAGUGGAAGGAAAUGAUGAAGCUAUCCUAUCAUGGAGUUUCUAUGGUCUUGCCAAUAACAAGGAUGAAAGUGAAGUUUUCUUCAGGAUCAAAAGAAGUACAAAGCUACAGAAACUGGUUGAUGCUUUGUGUACCACCGUUCCCUCGAUCCUGAAUCAUUAAUAAUUUGGUUUGAGAAUGACCACAUUCACAAGUAGAAGACUGCUGGGGAGCAUCAAAUGGAAGACGGUGAUGAAAUCAAUUAAAAACACAAAACGGGGAGUAAGGAGAAGCUUAAGUAAGGAUGAUUUCUUUACCAAAAAAAAAUAAGGAUAUUUGUUUGGUGAUAGGACAAUUACGGCCUUGCUUGCUUUGGUAAUUCCUUCUUAGCUUUAGCUUAGCAGAUGAUGCCAAAGAGUCUCUUGCUUUUGAAAAGGAAAAAAAAAAGGGCCCUACUUGCUUUUCCAAAAAGGAAAUACUAGAAUUGCUUCCUCGUGAUGUAGUUGCCUCUGUAUUAUUGCUGGACUAGUAACUAGUUUCUUACUUUUUGUUGUUGGAAUGCAGAAGGUGUUUGAUGAAUGAACAAUUAUCCAACACUCCAUCAAUUAAUUCUCUUGUUUGUUCUUAUUAUAUAGGAAAAGGAUUACCACACGAUUGUUUUCCCAGGUUUCUUUGUAUUCUUUUGAAAUUUAUGUUUUUUUUUUUCAAUCAAUUUGGUGUUUAAUUAACUUAUUGUAUACAGAUGUAAUUAUAUUAAAUCGUUGUUGCAGAUGGAUGAACAAAGAUGGGAGGACUUAGAAAUGGACUGCUUGGUCAAAGUGUUGGAGGAAGUGGGAAUGGAGUCACUGCUUUUGGAUGUCCCUUUUGUGUGCAAGUCAUGGUACAAGGCGGCCCUCAAUCCUUCAUGCUGGCAAUCUCUCAUUUUCCCAGACAAUGAAUGUAUGGAAGUCUGGCCUUGGGAUGUGUCUGAAUGUCCGAAUUUUCAAAAUCUUAUGGACAGAUUUGCAAGUGAGUAUCAAAUUGAUGGGGAUCGUUGCUCUGUCUCCGCUUUUCUAAAGUUUGUUAUCAAUCGGAGCAGCGGAAACGCUAUUGUGCUCAAGCUUCCCAAACGCUGCACAGUAGAGCCUUUGAAUUUGCUGCAAAUGUGCAAGUUUUCUCAUUUUCACUUGUUUAACAAAACAAGUUAAUUUUCAGAACCCUCAAGUAUACCCAGUUUAAUUUUCAAAACCCUCAAGCCUUUGAAUGUGCUCAAGCUUCCUCUUCGCCCAAGUUGCCAUAGCAUCUACUGGAGAGUUUAGGUUGUACAUUUGAUAGAUACCCAAGGGUGGGCAUGGAGGAAGAGAGAUGUGGCGAUUUACAUGGAGAAAAAGAGAGUUUUUGGACCUGUGCCAU